AUGGCCCACAGAAAUCAGCAAGAACUUGCCUGCCAGAAAAACAUGAAGAAAUCCCAGGAAAUUAGGAAGCAAAAAAGAAAAGAAGAUAGCUUGACUGCCUCUCAGAGAAAGCAGAAGGACUUUGAAAUAAUGCAGCAAACGCAGAAGGCAGCUAAUGAGAAGUCUAUGCAGACAAGAGAAAAAUGA